GUACUGGACUAAAAAGCUGGAGCGCAUCAACUCUAUGAGGACACAUGAUGAGUAUUCACUGCAAGAUGAAGCACAGAGAAGACAGCUGCCCUCAGCGCCCUCGCAGUGCUGCGACUGGACAUACUUUGGAUGGAAUGACCAGCAGACUUUUGAUGACCAUGACAGUGCUGUGGAUGACAGGGACAGUGAUUACCGCAGUGAGACAAACAGCAGGCCUCCA